UGGGGGAUAUUGCACAAUGGGCGAAAGCCUGAUGCAGCGACGCCGCGUGGGGGAUGAAGGCUUUCGGGUUGUAAACCUCUUUCGCUAUCGAACAAGGCCCGCUUAGGGUGGGUUGAGGGUAGGUGGAGAAGAAGCGCCGGCUAACUACGUGCCAGCAGCCGCGGUAAUACGUAGGGCGCGAGCGUUGUCCGGAAUUAUUGGGCGUAAAGGGCUUGUAGGCGGCUUGUUGCGCCUGCUGUGAAAACGCGGGGCUUAACUUCGCGCGUGCAGUGGGUACGGGCAGGCUUGAGUGUGGUAGGGGUGACUGGAAUUCCAGGUGUAGCGGUGGAAUGCGCAGAUAUCUGGAGGAACACCGAUGGCGAAGGCAGGUCACUGGGCCAUUACUGACGCUGAGGAGCGAAAGCAUGGGUAGUGAACAGG
rnacentral:rRNA from 1 species